UUUUCAUUUAGAUAGUGAUCAAAAUAUGACAACAGAAUUUUAGAUGUGAGAAAUAUUCCAGCUGGGAAAUUCUUGUUACUCUGAUCCUGUUUGCUAGAGAGACAGUAGAGUCCCAGGCCUUUACUACUUUCCCAUUGGGGUCUACCAAGUAUUUCCAGAAGUUCCAGUGUAUUUUGUAAGCUGUCUGCCAAGAAUGAACAAAGCCUCUUCAAGUAGCAUUUAGCUAUAAUGCAGAUCACAACUGGAAGAACAGUACAGUAUGGCUGUUGCAAUGUUUGACAGUAUCCUGUGUCAGGAAUUCUACACUGGGGAAACAACCCAUUGCUGUUCCAGAUUACUCACCAAUUAAGUAUUUGAAGGCAGGAAUUGCACCAGCUCCACUGACUGCAACUUUGCUGAACAUAGGAAAGGAGGCACCGAAGAAAAAUCUUCCAUCAUCUCUUUUUAAUAUUUUUAUUCAAGUGGAGGACAGGUUAUAUCUGUACAUAUUUACAUCAGGAAAAAAGAGUAUUUCAGAAUUAGCUUUAAAAGAAUGGAAUCCAGGAAAAAAAAAAUUUACUAAAACUCAUGCAGUUAAAAGGCAGAAAUAAGUUCCAAAAGUAAUAUGUACAAAGAUAACGUGCUUUAAGUUUAAUAGCUGCCAUCCAGUGCAAUUCAUCCUGCUGCACAAAGGACAGGCAUGCAGGCAAACCCUGCUUGCCACGUAUGCAGGGAGCAGCGUGCAGAAGGAACACUCUGACACACAGAGGUGAGACCUGCAAAUGCUUUAUUUAAAGAGUGCAAAGACCUACGGAGCGAUAUCAAAGCAAGCACGGGCAACAUUCCAGUUCAAGAGUUGCAAAUGCAAAUCUAUCUGCAUGCAUCGGGUUGAAGUCCAACCUCUCCCUCCCCCCUUCGGUUUCCACAGACAUGCGAGGAGCGUGC